GGGCUGGUAGCUCAAUGGUAGAGCAGUUGCCUUUUAAGCAAUUGGUUCCGGGUUCGAAUCCCGGCCGGCCCACCA
rnacentral:tRNA from 1 species